rnacentral:rRNA from 1 species
UUUGGACAUGGGGGAAACCCUGNUCCAGCCAUGCCGCGUGAGUGAUGAAGGCCUUAGGGUUGUAAAACUCUUUCGACGGGGACGAUAAUGACGGUACCCGUAGAAGAAGCUCCGGCUAACUUCGUGCCAGCAGCCGCGGUAAUACGAAGGGGGCUAGCGUUGUUCGGAAUUACUGGGCGUAAAGCGCGCGCAGGCGGCCUUCCAAGUCAGGGGUGAAAGCCCAGAGCUCAACUCUGGAANNGCCUUUGAAACUGUUAGGCUUGAGUACGGGAGAGGUGAGUGGAAUUCCCAGUGUAGAGGUGAAAUUCGUAGAUAUUGGGAAGAACACCGGUGGCGAAGGCGGCUCACUGGCCCGUAACUGACGCUCAGGCGCGACAGCGUGGGGAUCAAACAGGAUUAGAUACCCUGGUAGUCCACGCCGUAAACGAUGAACGCUAGCCGUUGGCAAGCUUGCUUGUCAGUGGCGCAGCUAACGCAUUAAGCGUUCCGCCUGGGGAGUACGGCCGCAAGGUUGAAACUCAAAGAAAUUGACGGA